CAGAGAGGAGCUGGAGGUAUGAGAGUGCACGUUUAGGUGUGUUCCACUGUUCUUUCUGGGGUCUGAGACGUGGUCACAUACUCUGUUUGGGACAGAGGAAAAUGGAGUAUGGUUUCCCAAGCUGCUGUUGAUUCUCAAGAAGUGGUACCAGACCCAGACCCUCCCGGAGCAAACUUCACCAAGCACACAUGGGACAUUGCCUCGGAGGCCAGCAGAGGCCUGGACACUGCACCAUCCAAGCACCUUUUAUCUGAAAGCCAUCAAGAAGAUAUGUGUGGCUUCUUCCACGGACCAAGCUGCGAUGCCGUAUUGAUUUGACAGAGCCUCCUUUUCAAUGAUGUCUGUCUCAAAUGCCUCCUGUGAUUUUUGUAGUGCAAAAUAAAGCCAAACUCUGGAAACAAAUAAACAAAAGUCAUAGGAUUACUCAUGAUUGUAGAGCCAUCAAGAAGAUGAGAGAAAUAAUGUGCAAACCCAGACCCUUCUGAUCGCUAGU